GGAUGUGAGGGUGAUCCGGCUGUGACAUCUGUCACCCCAUUGAUCACCAGGGUUGAUUUGGCUGAUCUGGCUGGCUAGGUGUGUGUCCUCCUCCUCCCUCACCACUCCAGGUGUGUCCCUCCCAAAACUGGUCACUUGGUUGAAGGGGAUGAUCUUCCCUGUUAGAGGAGGACCGUUCUUUGGUCAAGGGUAUACGAGUAGCUGCACUCUUCUGCUAGAACCUCCAAACAAGCUCUCAAGACAUAUGAAGAAUAUGGAAUUAUGUUCAAAUUCCGUAUUCUUAAAUUAAUCAUCCUCAUU
ensembl:misc_RNA 7SK 7SK RNA